rnacentral:rRNA from 1 species
GGGUUGUGAGGUUAAGCGACUAAGCGUACACGGUGGAUGCCCUGGCAGUCAGAGGCGAUGAAGGACGUGCUAAUCUGCGAUAAGCGUCGGUAAGGUGAUAUGAACCGUUAUAACCGGCGAUUUCCGAAUGGGGAAACCCAGUGUGUUUCGACACACUAUCAUUAACUGAAUCCAUAGGUUAAUGAGGCGAACCGGGGGAACUGAAACAUCUAAGUACCCCGAGGAAAAGAAAUCAACCGAGAUUCCCCCAGUAGCGGCGAGCGAACGGGGAGGAGCCCAGAGUCUGAAUCAGUGUGUGUGUUAGUGGAAGCGUCUGGAAAGGCGCGCGAUACAGGGUGACAGCCCCGUACACAAAAAUGCACAUACUGUGAGCUCGAUGAGUAGGGCGGGACACGUGGUAUCCUGUCUGAAUAUGGGGGGACCAUCCUCCAAGGCUAAAUACUCCUGACUGACCGAUAGUGAACCAGUACCGUGAGGGAAAGGCGAAAAGAACCCCGGCGAGGGGAGUGAAAAAGAACCUGAAACCGUGUACGUACAAGCAGUGGGAGCACGCUUAGGCGUGUGACUGCGUACCUUUUGUAUAAUGGGUCAGCGACUUAUAUUCUGUAGCAAGGUUAACCGAAUAGGGGAGCCGAAGGGAAACCGAGUCUUAACUGGGCGUUAAGUUGCAGGGUAUAGACCCGAAACCCGGUGAUCUAGCCAUGGGCAGGUUGAAGGUUGGGUAACACUAACUGGAGGACCGAACCGACUAAUGUUGAAAAAUUAGCGGAUGACUUGUGGCUGGGGGUGAAAGGCCAAUCAAACCGGGAGAUAGCUGGUUCUCCCCGAAAGCUAUUUAGGUAGCGCCUCGUGAAUUCAUCUCCGGGGGUAGAGCACUGUUUCGGCAAGGGGGUCAUCCCGACUUACCAACCCGAUGCAAACUGCGAAUACCGGAGAAUGUUAUCACGGGAGACACACGGCGGGUGCUAACGUCCGUCGUGAAGAGGGAAACAACCCAGACCGCCAGCUAAGGUCCCAAAGUCAUGGUUAAGUGGGAAACGAUGUGGGAAGGCCCAGACAGCCAGGAUGUUGGCUUAGAAGCAGCCAUCAUUUAAAGAAAGCGUAAUAGCUCACUGGUCGAGUCGGCCUGCGCGGAAGAUGUAACGGGGCUAAACCAUGCACCGAAGCUGCGGCAGCGACGCUUAUGCGUUGUUGGGUAGGGGAGCGUUCUGUAAGCCUGUGAAGGUGUGCUGUGAGGCAUGCUGGAGGUAUCAGAAGUGCGAAUGCUGACAUAAGUAACGAUAAAGCGGGUGAAAAGCCCGCUCGCCGGAAGACCAAGGGUUCCUGUCCAACGUUAAUCGGGGCAGGGUGAGUCGACCCCUAAGGCGAGGCCGAAAGGCGUAGUCGAUGGGAAACAGGUUAAUAUUCCUGUACUUGGUGUUACUGCGAAGGGGGGACGGAGAAGGCUAUGUUGGCCGGGCGACGGUUGUCCCGGUUUAAGCGUGUAGGCUGGUUUUCCAGGCAAAUCCGGAAAAUCAAGGCUGAGGCGUGAUGACGAGGCACUACGGUGCUGAAGCAACAAAUGCCCUGCUUCCAGGAAAAGCCUCUAAGCAUCAGGUAACAUCAAAUCGUACCCCAAACCGACACAGGUGGUCAGGUAGAGAAUACCAAGGCGCUUGAGAGAACUCGGGUGAAGGAACUAGGCAAAAUGGUGCCGUAACUUCGGGAGAAGGCACGCUGAUAUGUAGGUGAAGUCCCUUGCGGAUGGAGCUGAAAUCAGUCGAAGAUACCAGCUGGCUGCAACUGUUUAUUAAAAACACAGCACUGUGCAAACACGAAAGUGGACGUAUACGGUGUGACGCCUGCCCGGUGCCGGAAGGUUAAUUGAUGGGGUCAGCGCAAGCGAAGCUCUUGAUCGAAGCCCCGGUAAACGGCGGCCGUAACUAUAACGGUCCUAAGGUAGCGAAAUUCCUUGUCGGGUAAGUUCCGACCUGCACGAAUGGCGUAAUGAUGGCCAGGCUGUCUCCACCCGAGACUCAGUGAAAUUGAACUCGCUGUGAAGAUGCAGUGUACCCGCGGCAAGACGGAAAGACCCCGUGAACCUUUACUAUAGCUUGACACUGAACAUUGAGCCUUGAUGUGUAGGAUAGGUGGGAGGCUUUGAAGUGUGGACGCCAGUCUGCAUGGAGCCGACCUUGAAAUACCACCCUUUAAUGUUUGAUGUUCUAACGUGGACCCGUGAUCCGGGUUGCGGACAGUGUCUGGUGGGUAGUUUGACUGGGGCGGUCUCCUCCUAAAGAGUAACGGAGGAGCACGAAGGUUGGCUAAUCCUGGUCGGACAUCAGGAGGUUAGUGCAAUGGCAUAAGCCAGCUUGACUGCGAGCGUGACGGCGCGAGCAGGUGCGAAAGCAGGUCAUAGUGAUCCGGUGGUUCUGAAUGGAAGGGCCAUCGCUCAACGGAUAAAAGGUACUCCGGGGAUAACAGGCUGAUACCGCCCAAGAGUUCAUAUCGACGGCGGUGUUUGGCACCUCGAUGUCGGCUCAUCACAUCCUGGGGCUGAAGUAGGUCCCAAGGGUAUGGCUGUUCGCCAUUUAAAGUGGUACGCGAGCUGGGUUUAGAACGUCGUGAGACAGUUCGGUCCCUAUCUGCCGUGGGCGCUGGAGAACUGAGGGGGGCUGCUCCUAGUACGAGAGGACCGGAGUGGACGCAUCACUGGUGUUCGGGUUGUCAUGCCAAUGGCACUGCCCGGUAGCUAAAUGCGGAAGAGAUAAGUGCUGAAAGCAUCUAAGCACGAAACUUGCCCCGAGAUGAGUUCUCCCUGACUCCUUGAGAGUCCUGAAGGAACGUUGAAGACGACGACGUUGAUAGGCCGGGUGUGUAAGCGCAGCGAUGCGUUGAGCUAACCGGUACUAAUGAACCGUGAGGCUUAACCUUACAACGCCGAAG